GACGAACGCUGGCGGCGUGCUUAACACAUGCAAGUCGAACGGAAAGGCCUCUUUCGGGGGGUACUCGAGUGGCGAACGGGUGAGUAACACGUGAGUAACCUGCCCUUGACUUUGGGAUAACUUCAGGAAACUGGGGCUAAUACCGGAUAGGAGCUCCUGCUGCAUGGUGGGGGUUGGAAAGUUUCGGCGGUUGGGGAUGGACUCGCGGCUUAUCAGCUUGUUGGUGGGGUAGUGGCUUACCAAGGCUUUGACGGGUAGCCGGCCUGAGAGGGUGACCGGCCACAUUGGGACUGAGAUACGGCCCAGACUGCGACGGGAGGCAGCAGUGGGGAAUAUUGCACAAGGGGUGGAAGCCUGAUGCAGCAACGCCGUGUGCGGGAUGACGGCCUUAGGGUUGUAAAACGAUUUCGCUCAUGACGAAGCUUUGUGUGACGGUAGUGGGUAAAGAAGCACCGGCUAACUACGUG
rnacentral:rRNA from 1 species